CAUUGGUGAGAAUCCAAUGCCCCGAAAACCCAAGGUUUCCUCCGCAAGGUUCGUCCACGGAGGGUGAGUCAGGGCCUAAGAUCAGGCCGAAAGGCGUAGUCGAUGGACAACAGGUCAAUAUUCCUGUACUACCCCUUGUUGGUACGGAGGGACAGAGGAGGCUAGGUUAGCCGAAAGAUGGGGCUAGUUUGAUAACUCCAUUUUCUCAAGAAAAAUGAACUAAUUGUUCCUGGGGAAAAUGAAAAUCCUUUACAUCACGUUUGGAUCAUUGGAAUCGAAUUUCAUUCUAAUAAUAGUAAUUUAGGCG
rfam:Monodelphis domestica chrTn_v05.000145 genomic scaffold, whole genome shotgun sequence.